GCAUUUCUCUCACAUACAGCCUCUCCUUGUGCAAAGUGCUCUGAAUAGUUGAAUGAUGCACCUAAUUUGCAAAUAGAUAAAGGUACCAACAGACAAAACUGUUCUAAUUUAAUUUAACUCAAAGAUCCAGUUAAUAUGAUGUUAUAUGAUGAAUAUUAACUCAAAGUAUUUGAGAAAAUACUCAGUCCAACAUAUAACAGACGUAAUUAGUUUAAGUUUAAAUGAAUUUGGGUUUGGGUUUGCAGUGUAGAGAUUGUUGAGAGCCUAAGAGUGGAUCAUGUUGCUCUGGUGGAAAUGGUUAAAGGGGGGAGGAGUCUCUUUAAAGUUACACCUUCUGAGACAACACUGAUAUUUAUUAUCUCUCACAAUAACAACUGGUGUACAACAACGGAGCCAGCAACAAUGAAGAGACAGAUCACAAUGCUGCUCAUCUGCUUAAUUUUUUUAGAAGCUUUACAGGUUUCUGAAGCACUGAGGUGUUACGGAUGUAAGUCCUCACCAUGUACGACGAUUGUGAACUGCCUCCAAACUCAGAUUUACUGCUAUACCUCGGUGAAACAAAAUGAAGUCACAAAAAAAUGUGCAGACAAAAUGCAGUGUGGACUGCUGAUCAAUGGGACGAUGCCGACUUGCUGUACGACAGAUCUAUGUAACAAAGCUACGGAGGUUCAGCUCGGUCUCUUUGUCAUGUUGGGACCCCUGUUCUCCUCCAUCCUCUUUCUCUGAACUCUCUGCUGCCCCUCUUUUUCCUUUUUUUUUGUCUAUGCAAAAUCUGAAAUGUUAGGGAAAAGUCAUGUCAUUUUCCUAAUUCUACAUUUUUAAAAUCUAUUUGCACCCAUUGUUAUUGUGUGUGGUCUAAGAUGCAUUAACAUUUUUAUUCACUUAAUCAUCAGUAAAUGUAGUAGCAAAGUGUUUUCAGGUCGACAUUUACUUUUUAGUUUUAUGUCACUUUGAAAAGCCAGAUAACAGGAGUUGUGGUGGUUAAAGUGUAUGAUGGCAUUUUAGGGACUUUAUUCUACAACUAUUAUGAUAUGAUUCUCAAAACGUUUUGACGUUUUUCUUAAGUUAUUACGACGUUUAUUCAUUAUGACUUAUAUCUUAAAUUAUUAGCAUACGACUUUAUUUUUGAAAUUGUAGGACUUUGUCCUUAAAGUAUUAUGAUUUUAUUUUUGAAACAUUAUGACAUAUCUUAAAUUAUUAGCCAACGACUUUAAUCUUGAAAUUUUAUGACUUUGUCCUGAAAUUAUUAUGACUUUAUUUUUUAAAUAUUGUGACAUAUCUUAAAUUAUUAUCCUGACUUUAUUCUUGAA